AUGGCCGGCAGCAUCUUGGAGGAGAGCUCGGUGCUGUUCCGGUGUGGUACAGGCCAGAGUGAUGAUUCUGACAUUUGGAAUGAUGCAGCACUGAUAAAACCUUAUGAUAAAGCUCUGGCUUCAUUUAAGUGGAAAGCUGGUGACAAACGUUCUGCCAUUUGGUCAGAAGAUGGUUGCAUUUACCCACCUACCAUUGCUUCAAUUGAUUUUAAGAGACAAACCUGUGUUGUGGUUUAUACUGUAUAUGGAAAUAGGAGCAAAAUCUGUCUGAUCUUCUUUCCCCAACCUCUGAAAUAGCUAAUAAUAUAGAACAGAAUGCUCAAGAGAAUGAAAAUGAAAGUCAAGUUUCAACAGAUGAAAGUGAGAGCUCCAGGUCUCCUGGAAAUAAACCAAACAUCAAAAGCUACUCCAUGGAACUCUUUUCUCCCUCCACCUUCCCCACAUCCCAGGGGCAGGUCUAGGACCAGGAAAGCCAGGUUUAAAAUUCAAUGGCCGGCUGCCACAGCCCAAACCUCCACACUUCCUGUCAUGCUGGCUGCCUCCAUUUCCUUGUGGAGCACCAAUAAUUCCCCCCCACAACCUCCCAUAUGUCCAGAUUCUCUUUAUGAUACUGAUGCUUUAGGAAGUAUGUUAAUCUCUUGGUACAUGAGUGGCUAUCAUACUGUAUACUAAAUGGGUUUCAGACAAAAAUCAAAAAGAAGGUGCUCACAUUCCAAUUAA